UGCAUGCACUACUGCAAGUCUCUUUGGAUAAAAGUCUCUGCUAAAUGGCAUUAA
rfam:Salmo salar isolate Sally breed double haploid chromosome ssa24, whole genome shotgun sequence.